GCCAGCGUGGCAUAGUGGUUUGAGCGUUGGACGACUACUCUGGAGACCAAGGUUCAAGACCCAGCUCAGCCA